AGCAGCCGCGGUAAUUCCAGCUCCAAUAGCGUAUAUUAAAGUUGUUGCAGUUAAAAAGCUCGUAGUUGAAUUUCGGGAUUGACACAUCGGUCGUGCCUUAAGGGGUAUGAACUGGUGUAGUCAAUUUCUCACCUUCUGGAGAACCGCGAUGCCCUUAAUUGGGUGUCGCGGGGAACCAGGACCUUUACUUUGAAAAAUUAGAGUGUUUAAAGCAGGCAUUUUGCUUGAAUACAUUAGCAUGGAAUAAUAAAAUAGGACGGCAUGAUUCUAUUUUGUUGGUUUCUAGGAUCACCGUAAUGAUUAAUAGGGAUGGUUGGGGGCAUUAGUAUUCAAUUGUCAGAGGUGAAAUUCUUGGAUUUAUUGAAGACUAACUACUGCGAAAGCAUUUGCCAAGGAUGUUUUCAUUAAUCAAGAACGAAAGUUAGGGGAUCGAAGACGAUCAGAUACCGUCGUAGUCUUAACCAUAAACUAUGCCGACUAGGAAUCAGACGAUGUUAAUUUUUAAUGACUCGUUUGGCAC
rnacentral:misc_RNA from 1 species